rnacentral:rRNA from 1 species
UACGGAGGGUGCGAGCGUUGUCCGGAAUCACUGGGCGUAAAGGGCGCGUAGGUGGCGCGAGGAGUCUGUGGUGAAAGCCCGAGGCUCAACUUCGGGUCGGCCGCGGAUACUCUCGUGCUGGAGGGUGGUAGAGGCCAAUGGAAUUCCGGGUGUAGCGGUGGAAUGCGUAGAGAUCCGGAAGAACACCGGUGGCGAAGGCGGCAUCCUGGACUGGUCCUGACACUCAGGAGCGAAAAGCGUGGGGAGCGAUCCGG